AUCCUUUUGUAGUUUAUGAGCAUGAUGACUGGGUGUUCACACACUGGUGUGAGAUGUGCCACCCUCAAACCUUGUUAUGUUCGGCAUAUUACCCAACAGACC